UACGGAGGAUCCAAGCGUUAUCCGGAUUUAUUGGGUUAAAGGGUGCGUAGGCGGCCUGUUAAGUCAGGGGUGAAAGACGGUAGCUCAACUAUCGCAGUGCCCUUGAUACUGAUGGGCUUGAAUACACUAGAGGUAGGCGGAAUGUGACAAGUAGCGGUGAAAUGCAUAGAUAUGUCACAGAACACCGAUUGCGAAGGCAGCUUACUAUGGUGUCAUUGACGCUGAGGCACGAAAGCGUGGGGAUCAAACAGG
rnacentral:rRNA from 1 species